GACGAACGCUGGCGGCGUGCUUAACACAUGCAAGUCGAACGGAAAGGCCCUGCUUUUUUGGGGUGCUCGAGUGGCGAACGGGUGCGUAACACGUGAGUAUCCUGCCCUUGUCUUUGGUAUAACUUCAGGUAACUGGGGCUAAUACCGUAUAGGAGCUCCUGCUGCAUGGUGGGGGUUGGAUAUUUUCGGCGGUUGGGGAUGGACUCGCGGCUUAUCAGCUUGUUGGUGGGGUAGUGGCUUACCAAGGCUUUGACGGGUCGCCGGCCUGAGAGGGUGACCGGCCACAUUGGGACUGAGAUACGGCCCAGACUCCUACGGGAGGCAGCAGUGGGGAAUAUUGCACAAUGGGCGGAAGCCUGAUGCAGCAACGCCGCGUGCGGGAUGACGGCCUUCGGGUUGUAAACCGCUUUCGCCUGUGACGAAGCGGGAGUGACGGUAAUGGGUAAAGAAGCACCGGCUAACUACGUG
rnacentral:rRNA from 1 species